GAUGAACGCUAGCUACAGGCUUAACACAUGCAAGUCGAGGGGCAGCAUGGUCGAAGCUUGCUUCGACUGAUGGCGACCGGCGCACGGGUGCGUAACGCGUAUCGAACCUGCCCUAUACACGGGGAUAGCCUUGCGAAAGUAAGAUUAAUACCCGAUGCCAAGUUGAGAUCGCAUGAUUUUGAUUUGAAAGAAAUUCGGUAUAGGAUGGCGAUGCGUCUGAUUAGGUAGAUGGCGGGUAAGGCCCACCAUGCCGACGAUCAGUAGGGGUUCUGAGAGAAGGUCCCCCACAUUGGAACUGAGACACGGUCCAAAACUCCUACGGAGGCAGCAGUGAGGAAUAUGGUCAAAUGGUCGCGAGACUGAACCAGCCAAGUAGCGUGCAGGAUGACGGCCCUCUGGGUGUAAACUGCUUUGUGGAU
rnacentral:rRNA from 1 species